GUGCCGGGCCUUUCUAGGUCUGGCAAUUGGAAUGAGAAACAUUUAAAUCUCUUAUCGAGUAUCAACUGAAGGGCAAGUCUGGUGCCAGCAGCCGCGGUAAUUCCAGCUUCAGUAGCGUAUAUUAAAGUUGUUGCAGUUAAAAAGCCCGUAGUCGCAUUUCUGGCGAGAGGAUCCGGUCCGACCUUUUGGUGGGUUCUUGGGUCUCUUUCGCCAUCCUUGAGUGGUCCGUUCUGGCAUUAGGUUGUCGGAGCGUCAGCCGCUCAUCGUUUACUGUGAGAAAAUUAGAGUGUUCAAAGCAGGCUUAUGCCGUUGAAUAUAUUAGCAUGGAAUAAUAAGAUAGGACCUCGGUACUAUUUUGUUGGUUUGCGCACCAAGGUAAUGAUGAACAGGGACAGUUGGGGGUAUUUGUAUUUCGUUGUCAGAGGUGAAAUUCUUAGAUUUACGAAAGACAAACUACUGCGAAAGCAUUUACCAAGGAUGUUUUCAUUGAUCAAGAACGAAAGUAUGGGGAUCGAAGAUGAUUAGAUACCAUCGUAGUCUAUACCAUAAACUAUGCCGACUCAGGAUGGGCGGGUGUUAUUUUGACCUCGUCUGCACUGUAUGAGAAAUCAAAGUCUUUGGGUUCCGGGGGGAGUAUGGUCGCAAGGCUGAAACUUAAAGAAAUUGACGGAAGGGCACCACCAGGAGUGGAACCUGCGGCUUAAUUUGACCCAACACGGGAAAACUUAUCAGGUCCAGACAUAGUGAGGAUUGACAGAUUGAGAGCUCUUUCUUGAUUCUAUGGGUGGUGGUGCAUGGCCGUUCUUAGCUGGUGGAGUGAUUUGUCUGGUUAAUUCCGUUAACGAACGAGACCGCAGCCUGCUAAAUAAUCACAGUAAUGAUUUUUCAUUGCUGAUAGUUUCUUAGAGGGACAUGUAGUAUAAAACUACAGGAAGAUUGCGGCAAUAACAGGUCUGUGAUGCCCUUAGAUGUUCUGAACCGCACGCGUGUUACACUGAUGUAUUCAACGAGCAUAUAACCUUAGCCGAGAGGCUUGGGCAAUCUUGUUAACCUACAUCGUGAUAGGGAUAGAUUAUUGCAAUUAUUAAUCUUGAACGAGGAAUUCCUAGUAAACGCACAUCAUCAAUGUGCAUUGAUUACGUCCCUGCCCUUAGUACACACCGCCCGUCGCACCUACCGAUUGAGUGGUCCGGUGAAUCUUCGGGAUUGUGGUUGAUUUCUUUUAUUAGGAUUCGACUGCGAGAACUUGUGUAAACCUUAUCACUU
rnacentral:rRNA from 1 species